rnacentral:lncRNA from 1 species
GCCACCCAUAUACAAUCAGAUCUUAGCCCAAUUUUUACAUGAUAAAUAGGGGGUUUAAUAAGGAUUCUUACACGCUAAAAAAAGAGUGGAGAAGUGGUGUUAAACUGAUUGGGGCAUGGGUACAAAUUUUGGUUCAAUGUGAGACUCGUUUGGUGGUGCAUGGAAGGAAGGAUUUUAAACCCCUGGGACUCUUCAUUAG